GGUUAACACUGAAAACCCACAGCUGAGUUCAGGUUCUACUUGCAGCUCUGCUACAGUAGCAGAUAACCUUUAACAUUACCUGCUGGUCAUAUCGUCUCUAAACAGUUCGCUCACGGUGAAGUCUUGCACGGAGCAACAG